CAGUAGCCGCGGGAAUACGGAGGGUGCGAGCGUUAAUCGGAAUUACUGGGCGUAAAGGGCUCGCAGGCGGUUUCUUAAGUCUGACGUGAAAGCCCCCGGCUCAACCGGGGAGGGUCAUUGGAAACUGGGAAACUUGAGUGCAGAAGAGGAGAGUGGAAUUCCACGUGUAGCGGUGAAAUGCGUAGAGAUGUGGAGGAACACCAGUGGCGAAGGCGACUCUCUGGUCUGUAACUGACGCUGAGGAGCGAAAGCGUGGGGAGCGGACAGGAUUAGAUACCCGCGUAGUCCCUGUCUCUUAUAC
rnacentral:rRNA from 1 species